CUGAUCAUAUCGGCACAACGGCUUCGCUUUUACUUUCGGGCACACUCCAUUGCGGUCCUUACCGAUCAACCAUUAAAAGUGAUCCUGCACCGUCCUGAUACAUCGAGAUGAAUGGCGAAGUGGGUGGUGAAGCUAGGUGAAUUCGACAUACAAUACUGACCACGGCUAUCCAUGAAGGCACAAGUCCUAACCGACUUCAUCGCAGAAUGUACAAUAGCUGACA
rnacentral:lncRNA from 1 species